rnacentral:lncRNA from 1 species
GGCUUCUUGUUAUUUUUUAAUAGACACAUGAACAGCGUAACUUCAUCAGAUGCACCAUCACUCCAUUCUGUCUCUGACUUUCUCUGUAGGUGCUGGGGAUUUGAACUCAGGUCCUCAUGCUUGCAGAGCAAGUGCUAUAUCCCUUGCUCACAUCUGACUUUUAAAAUGUGGAUUCUGGGAGCAGAAUCUCCAGCCUCGUACGUCAAUCAAGACCUCGUCAUCUCCCAG